rnacentral:lncRNA from 1 species
UCAAUUUUUCCAGGAUGGAUUAUCAUCUAGAUGCAGAGCUGAGACAGAUGCGGGGCAAACUCACGUGGAACAGUAACUUUGAUAGCUUCACCCAGAUCCUGGAGCUGCUUGACAACCAGCAUGUAGAUGCGUUGCGUCAGUCCUUUCUGUGGCUUCUAUACCCUAUGAGAGAGUUGCAGUAUUCGGGUCAGAUGAUCGAUACUCUUCUAUGUCAGUUGUUGAGUCCAAUUGAUGACGACGCCUUCCACUUCGACCUCGGGGGCAAAGUUGCCAGAUUUUCCAUGUUCAACUUUGCCUGCUGACAAAAUUGAAGAUUAUGGGCGAUGAGGCAGCUAGCGACGAGACUCAAAGAAGAAAUAGGCUACAAGACACUAACUUCUAGGGACAAGGAUGGUGGUUCUGCCUCAAUUGAUGGAUGCGAUCAGGAGAUAUAACGAAAUGUUAAACAAAUUGAAGUUAGGCUUGGUCUACAUCAUUGAGAACGUGAUACGGUGUCACCACAAAAAGACCGCAAUCAACAUUUUCCACCUGCAGAUCUUCGAUGACAUAGAUCGCUUCAACAGCUAUCCAUGGAGCCGUCGAUAUUUCAAGAACACCAUCCACAUUUUCACCAAACCGCACUCGAAGCCCAAGGGGCUCGUGCGUAAGUACGACACCUACAGAUUUCUGUUGGCGCUGCAGGUAAAUGAUUAACGCAAUUAAUGUUAAAAUGUUUUUUCUAUUGAAUUUGUAUGUACUAAUUUAUGUGUUGCAAGUUUGGGCGUGUGAGACCAUCCCCAUAUUAGGUACCCGCUUUACGCGGUGAGGAGAGAUAGGAUGUCCUUAGAUGUACCAUUAGUGAGCAUCUUGGGCGGAGGGAUGUCUCACUGGAAAAUAAUUAUUGGCUUUCCUCGACGACCCUCAUGUGAGUAUUAAAAAUUUGUGAUUUAUAUUGUACAUAAUUUAAAAUCUCAUUACAUGAUUUUAUCUUUUUAAAAUGUCAAUAUGUCAGUUUGAAGUAACAACUCAUUUGGAGCCAUCGAUGGAGGAGGAGGCUCACGGUUUUGUGCGUGAAAUAGUGGUUUCGCACACCCAAGACGACCAAAUGUCCGACUCGAUCCUCAAUCGAGACUGGGUAAGUGAAUUAUUGAUUAAUAUUUUGUAUGAGUUAGCAAUUAGUGAAUAAGUUUAUAUGUAAGUUUGUGCAGGACCGCGAGCCAGUUGUUCAGGCAUCACCUCAUCGGUGGCAUCACCUCCUCCCCCUCAGGGUGAUUAUUCUAAUGAUCUGUACAUCGUCUGACUGGAUUUAUGGUGUAGGAGAUCGGCAUGCUGUGUCGAGAGCUGAUAGGAGUUAUAUCAGAGGAGGUCGGCUCGCUACGCUGAGAUAUGAUGGAGCAGGUCGACGAUCUGGGACACCAGUUGGUAGGAAGGGUCGAGGAUAUAGCUGACGAUGUUAGAGUACUGCGUGGGCAUUUAGGUGACCUUCAGGAUGAGGUGAUAGCACUUCGAGGUGAUCUAUCAGGCAGACGAUAGGGUAACGAAGGUGACGACCGGGGGUGAUCGAGAGGAUAGAGAUGAGGGUCACCCACAGUCGUGGUUGGAGGAUGCAUGGGAAUCCUUUCUUCAAUCCAUGGAGGAUAGGAUGGCCCUGAGGGCAGAGAAGAGGGUGGCCCCGUCGAGGAUGGGAGCUACGAUUGAGGAGGUGGUGCCAACGAUGGCGGAUGAAGGGGUCGAGAAGGUAGUGAUGACGGGGGGUGGACCCCUUGAGGAGGGAGCUAUCGUCGAAAAGGUGGUGACGACGGGGAUGGAGGAGGAGGUGAAAGGUGGCGAUCAUUGGGGCGAAGAAGGGGACGAUGCUCGAGGUGGACGAGGGGAGGACGACCACCGUGACUGGGGCGAAAAAUCAUGUUGUUCACGUGCCGGAGCUAAUAGUAGGCAAGAGGUCAAGAGUGCCGUCACAGUACAUUGUCUCUCCCUUCACGGCUAAGACGAUUAAUG